rnacentral:rRNA from 1 species
CGCUGGCGGCGUGCCUAAUACAUGCAAGUCGAACGGUCUUUCUAUGGAAGCUUGCUUCCACUGAGAAGAUAGUGGCGAACGGGUGAGUAACACGUGGGUAACCUGCCCAUAAGAGGGGGAUAACAUCCGGAAACGGGUGCUAAUACCGCAUAGUUUUCUUGAUCGCAUGAUCGGGAAAGGAAAGACGGCCUUUGUGCUGUCGCUUAUGGAUGGACCCGCGGCGUAUUAGUUAGUUGGUGAGGUAACGGCUCACCAAGACGAUGAUACGUAGCCGACCUGAGAGGGUGAUCGGCCACAUUGGGACUGAGACACGGCCCAAACUCCUACGGGAGGCAGCAGUAGGGAAUCUUCCGCAAUGGACGAAAGUCUGACGGAGCGACGCCGCGUGAGUGAAGAAAGGUUUUCGGAUCGUAAAACUCUGUUGUCAGAGAAGAACAAGUUGGAGAGUAACUGCUCCAGCCUUGACGGUAUCUGACCAGAAAGCCACGGCUAACUACGUGCCAGCCGCAGC